UGAGGAAUAUUGGUCAAUGGGCGCGAGCCUGAACCAGCCAAGUCGCGUGAGGGAUGACGGCCCUACGGGUUGUAAACCUCUUUUGUUCGGGGGAGCAAAUUCCGUUACGUGUAACGGAGUCGAGAGUACCCGAAGAAAAAGCAUCGGCUAACUCCGUGCC
rnacentral:rRNA from 1 species